ensembl:lncRNA
GGCUUUCUUAUUUCUUCUUGCUAUUCUUUGGAACUCUGCAUUCAAAUGGGUAUAUCUUCCCUUUUCUCCUUUACUUUUUGCUUCUCUUCUUUUCACAGCUAUUUGUAAGGCCCCCUCAGACAGCCAUUUUUCCUUUUUGCAUUUCUUUUUCUUGGGGAUGGUCUUGAUUCCUGUCUCCUGUACAAUGUCACGAACCUCCAUCCAUCAUUCAUCGUCAGGCACUCUAUCAGAUCUAGUCCCUUAUAUCUAUUUCUUACUUCCACUGUAUAGUCAUAAGAUAUUUGAUUUAAGUCAUACCCGAAUGGCCUAGUGGUUUUCUCCACUUUCUUUAAUUUCAGUCUGAAUUUGACAAUAAGGAGUUCAUGAUCUGAGCCAGUCAGGUCACAGUCUUGUUUUUGCAGACUAUAUAGAGCGUCUCCAUCUUUGGUUGUAAAGAAUAUAGUCAAUCUGAUUUCGGUGUUGACCAUCUGGUGAUGUCCAUGUGUAGAGUCUUCUCUUGUGUUGUUGGAAGAGGGUGUUUGCUAUGACCAGCGUGUUCUCUUGGCAGAACUCUAUUAGCCUUUGCCCUACUUCAUUCCUUAUUCCAAGGCCAAAUUUUCCUGUUACUCCAGGUGUUUUCUUGACUUCCUGCUUUUGCAUUCCAGUCCUCUAUAACGAAAAGGACAUCUAUUUUGGGUGUUCUAGUAGGUCUUUUAUGUCUUCAUAGGACUGUUCAGCUUCUUCAGUGUUAUUGCUUAGGGCAUAGACUUGGAUUACCAUGAUAUUGAAUGGUUUGCCUUGGAAAUGAACAGAGAUCAUUCUGUCGUUUUUGAGAUUGCAUCCAAGUACUGCAUUUUGGACUCUCUUGUUGACUAUGAGGGAUACUCCAUUUCUUCUGAGGGAUUCCUGCCCACAGUAGUAGAUAUAUUGGUCAUCUGAGUUAAAUUCACCCAUUCUCGUCCAUCUUAGUUAGCUGAUUUCUAGAAUGUUGAUGUUCACUCUUGUCAUCUCCUGUUUGACUACUUCCAAGUUGUCUUGAUCCAUAGACCUAACAUUCCAGGUUCCUAUGCAAUAUUGCUCUUCAUAGCAUCGAACCUUGCUUCUGUCACCAGUCCUAUCCACAACUGGGUGGUGUUUUGCUUUGGCUCCAUCCCUUCAUUCUUUCUGGACUUAUUUCUCCACUGAUCUUCAGUAGCAUAUUGGGCCCCUACUGACCCAGGGAGUUCCUCUUUCAGUAUCCUAUCAUUUUGCCUUUUCAUAGUGUUCAUGGGGUUCUCAAGGCAAGAAUACUGAAGUGGUUUGCCAUUCCCUUCUCCAGUGGACCACAUUCUGUCAUUCCUCUCCACCAUGACCUGCCCAUCUUGGGUUGCCCUGCUGGCAUGGCUUACUUUCAUUGAGUUAGACAAGGCUGUGGUACUAGUGUGAUUAGAUUAACUAGUUUUCUUUGAAUAUGGUUUCAGUGUGUGACCCCA